rnacentral:sRNA from 1 species
AUGCAGACAGGAUUGCAGUCGGCCUAGAAGAAGGGCUGUAUGUCAUAGAGGUCACCCGAGAUGUGAUCGUCCGUGCCGCUGACUCUAAGAAGGUGCACCAGAUCGAGCUUGCGCCCAGGGAGAAGAUCGUAAUCCUCCUGUGUGGCCGGAACCACCAUGUGCACCUCUAUCCAUGGUCGUCCCUUGAUGGAGCGGAAGGCAGUUUUGACAUCAAACUUCCGGAAACCAAAGGCUGCCAGCUCAUGGCCACGGCCAUACUCAAGAGGAACUCUGGCACCUGCCUGUUUGUGGCCGUGAAACGGCUGAUCCUUUGCUAUGAGAUCCAGAGAACGAAGCCAUUCCACAGAAAGUUCAAUGAGAUUGUGGCUCCCGGCAGCGUGCAGUGCCUGGCGGUGCUCAGGGACAGGCUCUGUGUGGGCUACCCUUCUGGGUUCUGCCUGCUGAGCAUCCAGGGGGACGGGCAGCCUCUAAACCUGGUAAAUCCCAAUGACCCCUCGCUUGCGUUCCUCUCACAACAGUCUUUUGAUGCCCUUUGUGCUGUGGAGCUCGAAAGCGAGGAGUACCUGCUUUGCUUCAGCCACAUGGGACUGUACGUGGACCCGCAAGGCCGGAGGGCACGCGCGCAGGAGCUCAUGUGGCCUGCGGCUCCUGUCGCCUGUAGUAUGUAUAUGUUUUCUGUUGCAUAUCCCUGUUGCUGCUUUUCCCACCGACAGUCAGCAUGUGUUCGAUUUUGCUUUG